rnacentral:lncRNA from 1 species
UCAAUUUAAACGUAUAUACUUUCAUAUAGAAUUCUAAUUCACAAAUUUAAUUCUUCAUUAGCAUUCAAAACCAAAUUCAACUCAAAAACAAUGCACACUUCCACCUAUUAACAUGAUAUAUAAUUAUUAAGCUCAAACCUAGUUCGAAUAAACCAUACACACAUUAUUUAUUUACCUUACAUAUUUCUUAUAAUGCCAAACCAAACCAAAAUGUGCAUAAAUUAUCAUUCAAACCAAAAACAGACUAUAACAAGCCAAUCAAGCCACAUACGCAUGGCUUUAAUACAUAUUUACUCUCAAAAGAAACAAUUUCAAACUAGUCUAUACAUGCCAUAGUCUCAAAGAAAAAUUUCAGCUUAAAAUACCUUAAUUAUCCGAUAGUGUGAUAAACUUUACUGAUUAUCCUGAGCUCGUAACCACCUCAAAAUCUAUAAGACAAAUUAAACAGACACAAACACAUACAGUAAGCAUUUAAAAGCUUAGUAAGUCAAUAGUAUAGAUAAAAAUUUAACUAAUAAAAAUAAAAGAGUAAUUAACUUAUUUUUAAAGAUAAUAUAUGUCUCUUGGAUACACAUAGCCUGCUAGGCUUGAACCCUGAUUCAGAACACCGGCAUUAAGCCUGCUAGACAUAUAGUUCGAAAUAUUUCACCGGCGUUAAGCCUGUUAGGCACAAAGCCUGAGAGUUUUAGAAACAAAGAUGAUCUUUCUUAAAGAUCUUUAUAAUUACAUAAGUCUUACUCAAUAUCCGUAUAUUCAUAACAUUGAAUUAUAUUCGAUUUUUCAUAGUAAACAUACAUCCAAACCACUUAAAUAUAACUCACAAGCAUUUAAGUCAGCUCAAGGGAUUUUAUAAUCUCUAUAUUCGAACCUCUCUAUGAAUAUAAGAAACAUACUUUAAUUUCCAACUCAAUUACUUGAUUAAAGGCAUACAUUUAUGUUCGAAUCUCCCUAUAAUUAUAAAAUUCAUACAUUAAUUCCCAACUCAAUAACUUGAUUAUAUGCAUACAUAUUUAUGUUCGAACCUCAUACCUUUAAACAUAUGUAAUCCAUAAAAUAAAUUUUAACUCAAGAACUUAUAUUAUAGUUCUGAAUUAAACAUUUAUAACUCAUAACCUUAAAAUUUAACCUUACAUUUGAUUUACGUGUCUAUGUAUAUUUAUUUCACUAUUAAUUUCAAAUCAUUGAAACUUAAAAGCAUAUUUAGCUUAGAUACAUAUAACUUAAAUCAUUAAUAUCAACCCAACUAAAUUAAAUUCCUAUAUUCGGCUAUUAUAUAGGAAAAUUACAAGGUUUCAUUCAAUUUACACAUUUUAAGUUCUAGCUAAUCACAUUCAUGAUAAAUAAAUGUACAUAGAUUCGAUUUAGAAAACAUUUACUUGCUAAUUGACUUACCUUGGACAAUGAAAAAUCAAAAUCGAACGAUUACUCGACGACUUUAACUUUUUCCCGAUCUAACUCCGAUUUCUUUGGUUCUUGAUCUAAAUAUAUUCAAAAUGAGCUAGUUUAAAUAUUAUCACAUUCAAUUUAGUCCAAAAACACAUAAUUGGGCAAAUUACCAUUUUGCCCCUGACAUUUACACUUUUUGCAAUUUAGUCCCUAUUGCAUAAAACACAAAAGACGCAAAAUUUGCCCACACUAUGCUAGGGCCGAAUGUUCAUAGACUUCAUACAAGUCCACACAUUUCUUUUAUUUCACAUUUUAGUCCCUCAAAAAUUUAUUUUCAUAAUUUAGCUCUAUUUACUCAAUUUCACCGAAAAAUCAAAGACAAAACAUGUUAAUCUAACACCUAUCUUUCAUAUUUCAUCAACUAAUAUCACAAAUCACAAAUUAUCAUCAAUGGCAAAACACAAAAUAAUCAACAAUUACAAAAAUUCAAGCAUGGGUCUUGUAGUACACAAAACAACGAUCUCAAAAACAUAAAAAUUAUCAAAAACCGAAACCAAAACAUACCUUAAUCUACAAUAGAAAUGCCGAAACCUAGGAAGCCAUAGAUGAGUUCUCCAAGCUUAAUAUUCGGCCAAGA